rnacentral:lncRNA from 1 species
AUUUUGAUAUUUUAGGAAUCAACAAAAAUGGAUCCCAUUGAAAUUAAGCCAUUUAACAUUUUCAUUGGCAAUCCCUAUUAGGUAUCAACAUUUGUUAUAAUAUUAUAUAAUUUUUCGUAUGUUUACAUGGCUGCUAAUGUUUUAUACAAUUUUUUUUAUGUUUUAUGUUGAUACAUUGUAUUUGAUCAAAUAAAUACAAUUUCAUUAACACAAAAUAUUUGUUGGUCAAUGGGAACCAUCUAGAACUGUUUCCUGCUAUCAAAACAAUAAAAAGUGAACUCAGAUUGCCAAUGAGACAAAUUUCC